UACGUAGGGUGCGAGCGUUAAUCGGAAUUACUGGGCGUAAAGCGUGCGCAGGCGGUGAUGUAAGACCGAUGUGAAAUCCCCGGGCUUAACCUGGGAACUGCAUUGGUGACUGCAUCGCUCGAGUAUGGCAGAGGGGGGUAGAAUUCCACGUGUAGCAGUGAAAUGCGUAGAGAUGUGGAGGAAUACCGAUGGCGAAGGCAGCCCCCUGGGUCAAUACUGACGCUCAGGCACGAAAGCGUGGGGAGCAAACAGG
rnacentral:rRNA from 1 species